AUACGUAGGGGGCGAGCGUUGUCCGGAAUGACUGGGCGUAAAGGGCGUGUAGGCGGCGGUGUAAGUCUGGAGUGAAAGUCCCGCAUUCAAUGUGGGAAUUGCUUUGGAUACUGCAGUGCUUGAGUGCAGGAGAGGUAAGUGGAAUUCCCAGUGUAGCGGUGAAAUGCGUAGAGAUUGGGAGGAACACCAGUGGCGAAGGCGACUUACUGGACUGUAACUGACGCUGAGGCGCGAAAGUGUGGGGAGCAAACAGGAUUAGAUACCCUGGUAGUCCACACUGUAAACGAUGAAUGCUAGGUGUAGGGGGUAUCGACCCCUUCUGUGCCGCAGUCAACACAAUAAGCAUUCCGCCUGGGGAGUACGGCCGCAAGGUUGAAACUCAAAUGAAUUGACGGGG
rnacentral:rRNA from 1 species